rnacentral:rRNA from 1 species
ACUUUCAACAACGGAUCUCUUGGUUCUGGCAUCGAUGAAGAACGCAGCGAAAUGCGAUAAGUAAUGUGAAUUGCAGAAUUCAGUGAAUCAUCGAAUCUUUGAACGCACAUUGCGCCCGCUGGAAUUCCAGCGGGCAUGCCUGUUCGAGCGUCAUUUCAACCCUCAAGCCUGGCUUGGUGUUGGGGCACUACCUGUUCACAGCGGGUAGGCCCUGAAAUUUAAUGGCGGGCUCGCUAAGACUCUGAGCGUAGUAGUUUUUAUCACCUCGCUUUGGAAGGAUUAGCGGUGCUCUUGCCGUAAAACUCCCCUCUUCUUCUGAAAUUUUGACCUCGGAUCAGGUAGGAAUACCCGCUGAACUUAAGCAUAUCAAUAAGCGGAGGAAAAGAAACCAACAGGGAUUGCCCUAGUAACGGCGAGUGAAGCGGCAACAGCUCAAAUUUGAAAUCUGGCCUCGGCCCGAGUUGUAAUUUGCAGAGGAUGUUUCUGGCGCGGUGCCUUCCGAGUUCCCUGGAACGGGACGCCACAGAGGGUGAGAGCCCCGUAUGGUUGGACACUAAGCCUGUGUGAAACUCCUUCGACGAGUCGAGUAGUUUGGGAAUGCUGCUCAAAAUGGGAGGUAAAUCUCUUCUAAAGCUAAAUACCGGCCAGAGACCGAUAGCGCACAAGUAGAGUGAUCGAAAGAUGAAAAGCACCUUGAAAAGGGGGUUAAACAGUACGUGAAAUUGUUGAAAGGGAAGCGCUUGUGACCAGACUUGCGCCGGGCGGCUCAUCCGGGGUUCUCCCCGGUGCACUCCGCCCGGCUCAGGCCAGCAUCGGUUCUCGUUGGGGGAUAAGAACGGCAGGAACGUGGCCCUCCUUCGGGUGGGUGUUAUAGCCUGCCGUACGAUACCCUGACGGGGACCGAGGUUCGCGCUCCGCAAGGAUGCUGGCGUAAUGGUCAUCAGCGACCCGUCUUGAAACACGGACCAAGGAGUCGUCCAUUAGAGCGAGCGUUUGGGUGUCAAACCCGCACGCGUAAUGAAAGUGAAAUUAGGUGAGAGCUUCGGCGCAUCAUCGACCGAUCCUGAUGUUCUCGGAUGGAUUUGAGUAAGAGUUUUAACGGACGGACCCGAAAGACAGUGAACUAUGCUUGUAUAGGGUGAAGCCAGAGGAAACUCUGGUGGAGGCUCGCAGCGGUUCUGACGUGCAAAUCGAUCGUCAAAUAUGAGCAUGGGGGCGAAAGACUAAUCGAACUGUCUAGUAGCUGGUUACCGCCGAAGUUUCCCUCAGGAUAGCAGUGUUGACCUUCAGUUUUAUGAGGUAAAGCGAAUGAUUAGGGACUCGGGGGCGCUUUUUAGCCUUCAUCCAUUCUCAAACUUUAAAUAUGUAAGAAGCCCUUGUUACUUUGUUGAACGUGGGCAUUCGAAUGUAUCAACACUAGUGGGCCAUUUUUGGUAAGCAGAACUGGCGAUGCGGGAUGAACCGAACGCGGGGUUAAGGCGCCAGAGUGUACGCUCAUCAGACACCACAAAAGGCGUUAGUACAUCUUGACAGCAGGACGGUGGCCAUGGAAGUCGGAAUCCGCUAAGGACUGUGUAACAACUCACCUGCCGAAUGUACUAGCCCUGAAAAUGGAUGGCGCUCAAGCGUACCGCCCAUACCCCGCCCUCAGGGUAGAAACGAUGCCCUGAGGAGUAGGCGGCCGUGGAGGUCAGUGACGAAGCCUAGGGCGUGAGCCCGGGUCGAACGGCCUCUAGUGCAGAUCUUGGUGGUAGUAGCAAAUACUUCAAUGAGAACUUGAAGGACCGAAGUGGGGAAAGGUUUCAUGUGAACAGCGGUUGGACAUGAGUUAGCCGAUCCUAAGCCAUAGGGAAGCUCCGUUUCAAAGUGGGCACUUGUGCCCCCCUCGGCGAAAGGGAAGCAGGUCAGUAUUCCUGCGCCUGGAUGUGGGUUUUGCGCGGCAACGCAACUGAAAGAGGAGACGGCGGCGGGGGCCCCGGGCAGAGUUAUCUUUUCUUCUUAACGAUCUAUCACCCUGGAAACAGUUUGUCUGGAGAUAGGGUUUAAUGGUCGGAAGAGCCCAGCACUUCUGCUGGGUCCGGUGCGCCCUCGACGUCCCUUGAAAAUCCUCUGGAGGGAAUAAUUCUCACGCCAGGUCGUACUCAUAACCGCAGCAGGUCUCCAAG